AAAAUGGCUUUUUCCAAAGCCACCAAAUCAUAAAUUGGCAAUUGGU
rfam:Hyphopichia burtonii NRRL Y-1933 unplaced genomic scaffold HYPBTscaffold_7, whole genome shotgun sequence.